rnacentral:rRNA from 1 species
UACGUAGGGUGCGAGCGUUGUCCGGAAUUAUUGGGCGUAAAGGGCUCGUAGGCGGUCUGUCGCGUCGGGAGUGAAAACUCAGGGCUUAACCCUGAGCCUGCUUCCGAUACGGGCAGACUAGGGGUAUGCAGGGGAGAACGGAAUUCCUGGUGUAGCGGUGGAAUGCGCAGAUAUCAGGAGGAACACCGGUGGCGAAGGCGGUUCUCUGGGCAUUACCUGACGCUGAGGAGCGAAAGUGUGGGGAGCGAACAGG